rnacentral:rRNA from 1 species
CCUACGGGAGGCAGCAGUGGGGAUAUUUCACAAUGGGGGGAACCCUGAUGCAGCGACGCCGCGUGGGUGAAGAAGCGCCUCGGCGCGUAAAGCCCUGUCAGCAGGGAAGAAAAUGACGGUACCGGAAGAAGAAGCCCCGGCUAACUACGUGCCAGCAGCCGCGGUAAUACGUAGGGGGCAAGCGUUAACCGGAUUUACUGGGUGUAAAGGGGGCGCAGACGGCGAUGCAAGCCAGGAGUGAAAGCCCGGGGCCCAACCCCGGGACUGCACUUGGUACUGGGUGGCUGGAGUGCGGGAGUGGCAGGCGGAAUUCCUGGUGUAGCGGUGAAAUGCGUAGAUAUCAGGAGGAACACCGGCGGCGAAGGCGGCCUGCUGGACCGCGACUGACGUUGAGGCUCGAAAGCGUGGGGAGCGAACAGGAUUAGAUACCCUAGUAGUC